UACGUAGGGGGCAAGCGUUGUCCGGAAUCAUUGGGCGUAAAGAGCGUGUAGGCGGUCCGAUAAGUCCGCUCUGAAAGCCCGGGGCUCAACCCCGGGAGGCGGGCGGAUACUGUCGGGCUAGAGUCCGGAAGAGGCAAGUGGAAUUCCUGGUGUAGCGGUGAAAUGCGCAGAUAUCGGGAAGAACACCCGUGGCGAAGGCGGUUCUCUGGGACGGUACUGACGCUGAGACGCGAAAGCGUGGGGAGCGAACAGG
rnacentral:rRNA from 1 species